AGGAUAUAAAUAAUGCUGAAGCAGAGUUACGUUUUUUUUGUUGUUGUUUUUUUUGUUUUUGUUUUUUUAGGUUUCCGUGUGUUUCUAUUGAGCUGCUCAGUGCCCGGCUUAGAAGACCAGGAAAAGGAGUCACAGGUCGUAUGCUGGAGGCUUGAGCCGCGGCACCGUGGCGCGGCUCGCCUCGCUGCGGUUGGUGGUGGCGGUGGACAUUGCAGCGCGGCUGGAGGGGUAGGAAGAAGAAGAUAGUUUUGGGAUAGAUAGAGGGUCCUUAGACAAGGUGCAAGACAAACAGAAGAGGGCAUGUGGGGUCAAACUCGCUAGCUGCCUGCCUGAUUUUUCUGCACACAGGUGAGAUAUUCCUGCACAUCCUCUGGUGACCCCAGAAUGAGGGGGACUCGCUGGUGAAUUGCCUCGGGCUUCACGUCCAGUACAGGCUGGGUCCCCGUGGUCGCCAAGCCUCCUGCCUGCUCAAUGAUGUAGGCCACGGGAUUGCAUUCAUACAGGAGCCGGAGCUGUGGAGGAACAGAGGCAGGUGACAGAGCAAGAGCCUGUCUCAAAAACGAAGAAAGUGUCCAAGCAAGGCCACUGUUUCCUGCACGAGGGGUCCCAGCCGAGGGCAGAAACUGGGUUGAAAUCAGCCUGUGCCCUGCUUGCCAGUCUCUGCACAAGAUCCAGGGCUGCUGUUCAGAGGAAGGAAGGCCUUCUCUAACCCUCCUGCAGGCACAUGAGAACUGGCAGGAGGCUGCCUGUGUCCUGACAAAUUCACCAAGAGCCUAGCAACAUGAAGAGAGAUGCCAGGAAGAAGAGAGAAGCCAGGAAACAAGCCAACCGCACAAUCCCCACAUCAGAGCAGGAGAAGAUGGGGGCCUGCUGGCAGAGCUGGGGCUUGGCUGUGGUCACUCUGAACCUGCUCUUUGGUGUUUUCAUGAGUGGUGGGAAGAAUAGGGACCAUAUGGAGCCCACACAGGAAGCUCUAGCAGUAACACAGCAAGCAGGAAGACAAUUCUAAGGAAGCAGCCCAUAGUCUUCUUUCUUUUCCUGUGCAUCUUCCACUGUCAGUGAGGCUCCUCAUUUAUGGUGAACCCAACUGUGUGUAUCUCCCAAGUUCUCACCCGCAGAUUAAUGUUUUCAGGAAGAUAGGCCAUCAACAGUGAGAGGAAGAAGUUACAUUGUCGUAUGAGGGAUGCAUUUUAACCAUUAAUUUGUGGUACAGGCUGGGCGCAGUGGCUUAUGCAUGUAAUCCCAGCACUUUGGGAGGCCGAGGUGGGUGGAUCACGAGGUCAGGAGAUCGAGACCAUCCUGGCUAACAUGGUGAAACCCCGUCUUUACUAAAUAUACAAAAAAUUGGCCGGGCGUGGUGGUGGGCACCUGUAGUCCCAGCUACUCGGGGGGCUGAGGCAGGAGAAUGGUGUGAACCCGGGAGGCAGAGCUUGCAGUGAGCCGAGAUCGCGCCACUGCACUCCAGCCUGGAUGACAGAGCAAGACUCCAUCUCAAAAAAAAAAAAAAUGUGUGGUACAGUUAUUUUGUUUAUGUUAGUGAUUCAAUCAUAGAAACUAUUCAGUUUCUGGUAUCCCACUCUUACCUGGAGAAAAGAGGAAGCCGCUUUCAUCAGACACUGUGUUCACCCAGCGUAAGGAAAAAGUUGGUAAAAUCUAAAGGAAUCCUCAGACAUAUUAAUAAAAGUGUGCCCAGUCCCUCUCCACAACCCAUGUAGCCACUGUGGUCAGUACCUGCAGGGCAUCUCUCAAAUACCCCUAUGUCUAGUUCUGGUGAUAUCAGUCACUAAAAAUGGGAUCAGCUUGUGGCAGAUACCACCUUAAAUGCUCAUGUCUGUCUCAGUCACUAGGAGGAAAACCAGAGCCUGGAAACCAGAUCCAUUUUGAUGAAUGUCCAAGAUUUUGAGAGUGAAAAACUCCAAAAUGACAGCUCACAGUUGGCAGCUAGGCCAGAAGGUUCCCAAGGAACAUCAGAGGUAUUCCCGGAAUAUAAAGAGGCAAGGCCACAGAAUGACUCCACAUAGCAGAGGUGUUGCUACGAGAGGUGACACUGUCCCUGUCAGAAACAAGUCAGUGCCAAGGAGACUCAAUAACAAAAACAACUAAACAAUCCUUUCCUGCCUAACAUGAGUGACAACUGCUUCUAUAUCAGUGACUUCAAUCUCUCUGCCUCCUAGAUAAAAAUGAUUAAGGUAACUAGUCAUUAAUUGCACCCACUUCCAGACAAUAUCCAAUCCAGACUGACCCUCUCUUCCUCAAAUCCUCUUUAGAAUUACCAAGCAAAACCCCAAGUCCUAUAAGCCCAUCUCAACUCCCUCCUUAUGCAACACCCCAUGGUUCCUCUGCAGUGCCUGCUAAAUCUAACUUCGGGUUAUUACAGGUGCACGAGUGAUGGUCUUUGACUCAUGACCUUUAACUUGCUGUGGGUGUCUGUUGCUUUGGAGCAGCCCAGCGCUGAUUUCUACUUCUGAAAAGUGCCCUGACUUGCUUUGAAUUGGAUGCCAGUCUAGGAAGACUCAUAUCUGGGCCUCUUGUAGGCCAAGGUCAGGCAUGUACCUUAGCUUGAAAAUGAGAUACGCCUCCCUAGGAUUUGAAACCUGAGUGAGAGGCGCAGCACUGGGGGUGGUGUCCAGGCCAGACCGGCCAUGUUGCGAGACCACUGCCGUGCUUCCUGCUUCCUGGUCCUCUAGUCCUGCCCGUUCCUAGCCAGGGUCCUCAGCUUUCCCAUCAAUGCAGUAACUCCUUUCACUUAAUUGAGCCGGGGUCAAUUUUGCUGUUGCUUUCCAGCAAAGAGGAUGGAGAUGCACAACUGUCAUCUGAACAGUGGCACUCACUCACCACCUGAACAGAGGCGCUCAUUCUGCAUCAGGGCGGGUGAAAACGCCUUACGUUGAUCCACUCCUGGGGCUGGGGCCGGGACACUCAGGCCCUGGGAAUAUUGUUUCCACAGUUUUAUUAACCUGGAAAAUGUGUUCCUUUGUUCUGAUUGUGUGGUCACCAACAACGGCUGAUUUUUAAUAUGGGCUCUCAUACACCCUGUUACCGAUUAUCAGACACCAGAUCCUGGUCACAAGAAACAACAGCUCCCAUUUGUAAAUGAAUGCCUUGACAUUGAGCUUUACCCACAAUGGAGAGUUGGUUAACAGGAGGUGGUCUCUCUGUGCCUGAACAAUAUGUGUGUUCUGACAAAAUCAAAUCACCAGCCCUGCAAUCCCACAGACCUCACAGGCUCAGUUUGACCCACCAGGGAAUGCUGCCUCCAUAAGCUACUGGCCGCCUUCCAUGGCAUUUCUAUCUGUGACAACUGCCACAAGCUACCUCCGCUGGAUGUCAAACAGGCACUAAGCUUUGUGCACUGGGUCUUUGCUCAAAUGUCCUUUUUAGUAGGGAGAUGUGAUCCAAAGGGGUUUCAGGCUAAUACAUAGAGAUCCGGAAAGAUGCUAUGGUUCAUCUCUUCCUUCUGUCAUGUUGACAAGCUCUGGUGCCCACCUAUGUCCAGACUGGGCCCUGCUUUCAUGACUGAGGGCAGAAAACAGAGGCUCUGUCUGUGCCUGGGAAUCUUUGAAUUGGGUCCCUGAGUCAAAGCAUCUCCCAUCACCUUUAGAACUGCUCAGAAUGUUCAUGGAGAUAUUUUGCUUGUACUCAAGAGCAGUUGUGUUGGAAAUUUAGUGUGGUAGAGUAAUUAAAGCACAGACUGCUGGAGCAUGACUCCUGACACCAGUCACUAGCUUGACCUUGCGCAAGUUACUCACUCUCUCUACGCCUCACUUUCCCCAUCUGAAAAUGGGAAUAAUUGUAGGACAUAUCUCAUAGGGCCACUGUGACAUUUAAAUGCAUUAAUAGAUGUAAAUUUCAUAGGACAGGUACUUUACAUUCCUACCACUUACGAAGAAUUAUCUAACUCUUAGCUGUUAUUCUACAACAACUUUAGAAAGGGUGUUUUAUUGUCUGAGGGUAAUAUUUGCAAGCCAUAGAAUUUCUCAGGGUUUGCCAGCUUCUUUGAACAUAAAGGGAAAUUGGGGCAUUAGCAAACUGACACAGCAAUGGGUCUUGGUCUAAUGGGCAUACAGGUGAAAAGAUUCUAUUUGAAAAGUUUCUGGGUUUCCAUACUGUAAACUCUGUUUUGUAAGUUAACUCCAUGUCAUUUUGAAAUUUUGCAAACCCCUCUCUCCACACAUGUGCACUAACACGUGAACUCCACAAGGGCUGUCAUGUGUGUUUGAUCAAUGCUCCAUCUCCGCUGUCUGGAGUGGUGCUUUGGGACACAGUAGAUGCUCAAUAAACAGCUGUAAAUCAAAAACUUAAA
rnacentral:lncRNA from 1 species